CAGCAGCCGCGUAAUACGUAGGGUGCAAGCGUUAAUCGGAAUUACUGGGCGUAAAGCGUGCGCAGGCGGUUAUAUAAGACAGAUGUGAAAUCCCCGGGCUCAACCUGGGAACUGCAUUUGUGACUGUAUAGCUAGAGUACGGCAGAGGGGGAUGGAAUUCCGCGUGUAGCAGUGAAAUGCGUAGAUAUGCGGAGGAACACCGAUGGCGAAGGCAAUCCCCUGGGCCUGUACUGACGCUCAUGCACGAAAGCGUGGGGAGCAAACAGGAUUAGAUACCCCCGUAGUCCCUGUCUCUUAUACA
rnacentral:rRNA from 1 species